UACGACUACAUAUCAGGCAUAUCAAUAAGCGGAGGAAAGGAAACUAACUAGGAUUCCCUCAGUAACGGCGAGUGAAGCGGGAAGAGCUCAAAUUUGAAAUCUUCAAGGUUUUACCUUGACGAAUUGUAGUUUAAAGAAGUGUUUUCUGUUGAAGUUUUGGUAAAAGUUCUUUGGAAUAGGACAUCAUAGAGGGUGAGAAUCCCGUAUUUGACCAUUAUUUUCAGCUGUGUGAUACACUUUCAAAGAGUCGGAUUGUUUGGGAAUGCAGUCCAAAAUGGGUGGUAAAUUUCAUCUAAAGCUAAAUAUUGGCGAGAGACCGAUAGCGAACAAGUACCGUGAGGGAAAGAUGAAAAGAACUUUGAAAAGAGAGUUAAACAGUACGUGAAAUUGUCAAAAGGGAAGCGUUUGACACCAGUGUUGUUUUCUCGAAAAUCAAUUAAAAAAGUUGGAUUUUGUGUUGUAUUGACCUUAACAGCUUGCUUCACUCUUUUCCAGCUUUUUUUAAUGCACUUUUCGUUUAACAAGUCAACAUCAGUUUCUUUUGUUGUAAAAGGGUCAUUGGAAGGUGGCUUUCUCUUCGGAGAAAGUGUUUAUAGCCUUUGAUCUCUGCAAUCGGAGAGACUGAGGUCUGCAGCGUAGAUCCUUCGGGGUUAGAUACAUUUGUGCUAAGCUACAGCUUUUCAUAGACAACUUGUUGACUAUGUUUAGUCUUGUGACUUACCCGCUUAUGCUAUUUUACCUACGCUUAGGAUGUUGAGCGCAUGUCUCUCUCU
rnacentral:rRNA from 1 species